AUCCGCCUGCCGGCACCUUCUCCCCGCAUGCGGGGAGAAGGGAAUCGCGGGUUCGCCUUCGCACCAUCUCCACACGCAGGCGCGCCGUGGCGUACGUCCCCUCUCCCCGCAUGCGGGGAGAGGGUUAGGGUGAG
rnacentral:sRNA from 1 species